rnacentral:rRNA from 1 species
CCUACGGGAGGCAGCAGUGAGGAAUAUUGGUCAAUGGACGAGAGUCUGAACCAGCCAAGUAGCGUGAAGGAUGACUGCCCUAUGGGUUGUAAACUUCUUUUAUAUGGGAAUAAAAUGUUCCACGUGUGGGAUUUUGUAUGUACCAUAUGAAUAAGGAUCGGCUAACUCCGUGCCAGCAGCCGCGGUAAUACGGAGGAUCCGAGCGUUAUCCGGAUUUAUUGGGUUUAAAGGGAGCGUAGGUGGCGUGUUAAGUAAGCUGUGAAAGUUUGGGGCUCAACCGUAAAAUUGCAGUUGAAACUGGCAGUCUUGAGUACACGAGAGGUAGGCGGAAUUCGUGGUGUAGCGGUGAAAUGCUUAGAUAUCACGAAGAACUCCGAUUGCGAAGGCAGCUUACUGGACUGCAACUGACACUGAGGCUCGAAAGUGUGGGUAUCAAACAGGAUUAGAUACCCUAGUAGUC